rnacentral:rRNA from 1 species
AUUGAACGCUGGCGGCAUGCCUUACACACGCAAGUCGAACGGUAACAGGUCUUCGGAUGCUGACGAGUGGCGAACGGGUGAGUAAUACAUCGGAACGUGCCCGAUCGUGGGGGAUAACGGAGCGAAAGCUUUGCUAAUACCGCAUACGAUCUACGGAUGAAAGCAGGGGACCGCAAGGCCUUGCGCGGACGGAGCGACCGAUGGCAGAUUAGGUAGUUGGUGGGAUAAAAGCUUACCAAGCCGACGAUCUGUAGCUGGUCUGAGAGGACGACCAGCCACACUGGGACUGAGACACGGCCCAGACUCCUACGGGAGGCAGCAGUGGGGAAUUUUGGACAAUGGGCGAAAGCCUGAUCCAGCCAUGCCGCGUGCAGGAUGAAGGCCUUCGGGUUGUAAACUGCUUUUGUACGGAACGAAAAGCCUCUUUCUAAUAAAGAGAGGUCAUGACGGUACCAUAAGAAUAAGCACCGGCUAACUACGUGCCAGCAGCCGCCGUAAUAC